GCUGUCUGUGUUUACAUUUCGUGGUCGGUAGUUGACAUUUCGCUCGCUGUAGAUUUGCGUGUUUUUCAUUUAUUUUCCGGUCUCUAACGCCGCCAAUACAGUGGCGGCAGGCAGUGUGUGUGCGUGUGUGUGUGUGUGCGCGACAAAGAGAGACGGACAGAGAGAAGGGGGGAUGAACAUAAGGGCAGGAGGAGUAUUUUGGUCAGCACUGGUCAGUCUUGCCCCAUACACACACACACACACACACUAGUGAGUGUGCAGUGUGUGUGCGUGUGUGUGUGUGUGCGCGACAAAGAGAGACGGACAGAGAGAAGGGGGGAUGAACAUAAGGGCAGGAGGAGUAUUUUGGUCAGCACUGGUCAGUCUUGCCCCAUACACACACACACACACACACACUAGUGACCAGUGUUUCCAUAUUCCCUGGAGCUUCCUCCUGCAUUAAACACCACCAAGCAUCAUCAAAGAGACACGACUGCUUAAUGACAGUGAUGGAAGCAGAAUGUUUUCCUCGGCAUUGGUCAGUCUUAACACACACACACACACACACACACACACACACAGACACUAGUGACCAGUGCUUCCAUAUUCCCUGCAGCUUCCUCCUGCAUCAAACACCACCAAGCAUCACUAGAGAGACACGGCUACUUAAUGUAAUGUGAGUACAGCAAUGACUGCCUCGGUUAACAUCACCGCCUACACCAUAACACUCAACCCUUCCUCCUCCCUCCAGUAGCGUCUUUCAGUUCUUCAUUAUUAUUCGUUAUUAGGGUACUUUUUGAGAUUAUCGAUUUAUAUUUUACUUAUGUUUAUAUCUGAGUCGCGAUAUAGCUUGAAAUUUAGUAAAAAAUAAUGAAGGAUCGUCAAAAUGACAUCUGCGGUAGACAUAGGUCGUCCCUACUCAGCCAUUAUUUGCUUUAUUUCUCACGUAUUGUAAGCCAAACAUGUCACAAAAUGUAGCCUCAGUUCGAAUUUUCAUGUCCGCCUGUGAGGUAUAUCGCCAUUGCCUGGCUUUAGUGUGAUAACAGAGUAAUUCAGGCAAAUUAGCGGCCGCCAUGUUUGAUCUCUACAGGCCCCAGCCUGCUCUUCGGUUCCAAUAUAUUUUCGUUUUCCUUAACUCUUUAAGUUCGGUUUCUAAGUAAUUUUUUAUGGUUUGUAUAAAUGUUUCGUUGCUUAUGAAGUGGUUUUGAGGCUUUUGUUAAGGAAAUGUGUUGUAUUUGCUGUUGUUUAUAACGUAACUAUAGGCCUGUUUUUGGGCUGAAUUUUACGGAACCCCAUUGUUGGCUUUUUUAUUCGAGGCUAUAAUGAAGUUCUUUAUACUUUAAAAAAUCGCUUAUGAUUUUUAAACUGGUUUGCCGUCCUGUUGAGUUAAAUAUGUGGACUUUAAAAUGAUUUGUGGUCCUGUUAAAAGUCGAAAUGUUGACAUUUUUUAUUUCCUUAUUUCCUUAUUUGAGCUUUUAAGUAACUCUAGGUUAUUUGAAAAAAUAGUUCAGAUUUUUUAAAGUGCUUUGCAUUUCUAUUAAGUUAAAAUGGGUGGACUUUUCAAUGUUUUUUAUUCGUGUUUAGGUUCCAACACUUUUUUUUACAGAUUUAUUUUUCAUUCGUUUACUUCUGGUUCUAGGUAAGUUUUAAUUGAUUGAAAAGAUAGUUCAUAUUUUUAAAGUGUUUUUAUUUCUGUUAAGUGAAAAAAUAGGUAGACUUUUCAAUGGUUUUAAUGGGGUCAAAUGUUCCAACGUUUUUUUCAUAAUUCAUAUUGAUAUUUCUUUCAUACUACUGAGGCUGGAGAUGUUAUAAUAUUAUGAAUAUUUAUUAAAGUAAUUAUCAAGUCAGAAUAUAUAAUGCAUUCCAACCUAGCUCCAUUUUUUCUAUGGGUCAAUUUUAAAAUGAAAUACGUUACGCACGUAUCCUGGCGUGACGUCACGACCUCAGGUGUGACGUCAUCAGGGGGCCAGGGGGGGUCUCUGCCACAGACCCUUAUCUUCAAUAUUUCGAGUAAUUUCUAGUAUUUUUGACGUUUUUCCGUGUGUUUCUUAACUCAGGCAUGUAGAUAGUAGUUGUAGGAGGAAGAAAAAAGGAUAAAUAGGGAAGGAGGAGGAAAAAGAAAGGAGAAAUGAAGGAGGCAAAACAGGGAAAUCCUAAGACAACAAUAUUUAGCUUAGUUUUCUAUGCUGCCCUUUCUUUCUUUGUAAUAUUUUCUUUGCCUGAGAGUGUCAGACUUUUUAAUGUGUUUGGAUGCGUUUUUUAGGUGAUUGAGUGUGUUUGGCGUGUUUUGGGUGCAUUUUGGUUUGUUCGGGUUUGUUUUGUAGGUGUUUGAAUAUGUUCGUGGGUGUAUUUUUUGUGUGUUUGGAGGUGUUUUGAGUGUGUUCUGGUGGUUUUAGGGUAUUUUGGAAUGUUUUAGAUGAUCUUGGCUGCCCUUUAAAGUGAUUUUGGGUGUUUUGAGUGUGUUUUGGGGUGAGCCAGGGAGGCAGGAGGGAAUGGUUAGGUCAGGUUGUGGGCUGGUUAGGGAUUAUUUGGGUGUGGUUUGAGGUUAACUGAGGUAUUUUGAGACUGGUUAGGAUUUUUUAUGUGUGUAUUGGGGUGUUUUGUGUGUGUUUGCAUGUGUUUUAGGAUGUUUGGAGUGGUGUUUGGGGGUGUUUUUGUGUUGGGAAUGUAGUGGAUAGAGGUGUUGCAGCGCUUGUAGGACAGCUCCAGGACCACCUUGUUAUGUUUCUAGGAGAUUGGCCAGCUGGUGAGGGAUCAAGGGGAGAUGGUGUCCAUGACUCACAGGUCAAGACAGAGAAGGGGCGGGUGAACCUGCAGGAGGCCAGGGUCAACAUGCAGAAGGUGCUGAAGAAGGUUAUCUUUGGCAUCAUCCUCGGGGUCGUCCUGCUCAUUGUUGUCCUCUUCAUCAUCUUUGUAUGUGAAUGUUAGGUUAGGUUGAGGUAGUGUGUGUAUUUGUUUACAGUGUGUGUGUGUGUGUGUGUGUGUGUGUGUGUGUGUGUGUGUGUGUGUUUUUUUCCUGUCUGUGCUUUUCACAGAAUUCAGAAUUAAGUGUGUGUGUGUGUGUGUGUGUGUGUUUUCCUAUUAGUGCUUUUUACAGGAUUUAGAAUUUAGUUGUGUGUGUGUGUGUGUGUGUGUGCUUUCCUGUUUAUGCUUCUUACAAAAUUUAGAAUUAAGUUUAGGUGUGUGUGAGUGUGUGUGUGUGUGUGUGUGUGUGUCUGUGUGUAUGUGUGUGUUUCGUGUCCAUGCUUUUUACAUAAUUCAUAAUUAAGUGUGUGUGUGUUUGUUUUUCCUGUCUAUUCUUUUCACAGAAUUCAGAAUUAAGUGUGUGUCUGUUUGAGCGUGUUGUGUGUGUGUGUGUGUGUGUGUGUGUGUGUGUGUGUGUCUGUGUGUGUGAGUUUCCUCUCUAAUCUUUUUACAAAAUUCAGAAUUAAGUAUGUGUGUGUGUGUGUGUGUGUGUGUGUCUGUCUGUCUGUGUGUUUCCUGUCCAUGCUUUUUACAUAAUUCAGAAUUAAGUGUGUGUGUGUGUGUGUGUUUGUUUUUCCUGUCUAUGCUUUUCACAGAAUUCAGAAUAAAGUGUGUGUCUAUUUGUGUGUGUGUGUGUGUGUCUGUGUGUGUUUCCUGUCUAAUCUUUUUACAGAAUUCAAAAUUUAGUAUGUGUGUGUGUGUGUGUGUGUGUGUGUGUGUGUGUGUGUGUGUGUGUGUGUGUGUUUGUGUGUGCCAAGAGAGGUUUAUGUACAUUAUGUACGCGUUGGUGUGUCAAUAAUUUCUGUUAGAGAUUUGCUAAGUUAGAUUUAUUUAUAGUAUGUGUAAAUCUUGUCAUACUGAUAAGGUGUGUAGAAGGGUGGUUCACAAGUCUGUUCCUUUCCACCUGGGGCUGAUGGGCUUAGAGUGUGAAUGAUGUGUGUGUGUGUGUGUUUUUUUUUUUUUUUUCUGUUAGUGCUUUUUACAGGAUUCAGAGUAUAGUGUGCGUGUGUGUGUGUGCUUUCCUGUCUAUGGUUCUUAAAAAAUUCAGAGUUAAGUUUAGAUGUGUGUGUGUGUGUGUGUGUGUGUGUGUGUGAUUCACCUAUGGUCAUCUACUGGUCACCAAGCCAGCUAUUCCCCUCAGGAAAGAGCUCAGAUCUCGUAGUGACCUAUCUUUGGGUAAGACAUAGACCACUGACACACCACACACUGGGAUAGCAAGGUCACAACCCUUCAGGUACCUAUUGGCUGCUAGGUGAACAAGGAGUACAUAUUUGCCUCGCCGCACCCAGGAUUCAAACCUGGGCCUUCUUCCUUUCAGCCAAGCAUGCUAACCACUACACUAUGUGGUGUCUUUUUGCCUGUGUGUGUGUGUUUGUGUGUGUGAGUUUCCUCUCUAAUCUUUAAAAAAAAAUUCAGAAUUAAGUUUUUGUGUGUGUGUGUGUGUGUGUGUAUUUCCUGUCCAUGCUUUUUAAAUAAUUCAGAGUUAAGUAUGUGUGUGUUUGUUUUUCCUGUCUAUGCUUUUCACAGAAUUCAGAAUUAAGUGUGUGUGUGUGUGUGUGUGUGUGUGUGUGUGUGUGUGUGUGUGUGUGUGCGCCAAGAGAGGUUAAUGUACGGUAUGUACGGGUGAGUGUGUGAAUAAUUUUUGUGUUAGAGACUUACUAAGUUAGAUUUAUUUAUAGUCUGUGUAAAUCUUAUCAUAUUGAUACUGUUUAGAAGGGUGGUUCACAAGUCUGUCCCUUUCCACCUAGGGCUGAUGGGCUCAGAGUAUGAAUAAUGUGUGUGUCUGUGUCUGUGUGUGUUUGUGUGUGUGUGAGAGAGAGAGAGUUUCCUCUCUAAUGUUUUUACAAAAUCCAGAAUUAAGUUUGUGUGUUUUUGUGUGUGUAUGUGUGUGUGUGUGUGUGUGUUUUUGUGUGUGUGUGUGUGUGUGUGUGUGUGUGUGUGUGUGUGUGUGUGUGUGUGUGUGUGUGUGUGUGUGUGUGUGUGUUUCCUGUCUAUGCUUUUCACAGAAUUCAGAAUUAAGUGUAUGUCUCUGUGUGUUUCCUGUCUAAUCUUUUUAC